rnacentral:rRNA from 1 species
UGGGAAUAUUGCGCAAUGGGCGAAAGCCUGACGCAGCAACGCCGCGUGAGCGAUGAAGGUCUUCGGAUCGUAAAGCUCUUUCGGCCGGGACGAAAACCCGCCAUUCUAAUCAGUGGUGGCUUGACUGUACCGGAAGAAGAAGCACCGGCUAACUCUGUGCCAGCAGCCGCGGUAAUACAGAGGGUGCAAGCGUUGUUCGGAAUUAUUGGGCGUAAAGCGCGUGUAGGCGGCUUGUUAUGUCGGGUGUGAAAGCCCUCAGCUUAACUGAGGAAGUGCGCCCGAAACUGGCGAGCUUGAGUGCCGGAGAGGAUAGCGGAACACCCGGUGUAGAGGUGAAAUUCGUAGAUAUCGGGUAGAACACCAGUGGCGAAGGCGGCUAUCUGGACGGACACUGACGCUGAGACGCGAAAGCGUGGGGAGCAAAC